rnacentral:rRNA from 1 species
UAACGAAUCUUCCGCAAUGUACGAAAGUAUGACGGAGCGACGCCGCGUGUGGGACGAAGCCCUUCGGGGUGUAAACCACUGUCAGGGGUUACCAAGUUCUGAGGAGCCCCAGAGGAAGGCACGGCUAACUCUGUGCCAGCAGCCGCGGUAAGACAGAGGUGCCGAGCGUUAGGCGGAAUCACUGGGCUUAAAGCGUGUGUAGGCGGAGUUCUAAGUACCUUGUGAAAUCCCACGGCUUAACCGUGGAACUGCUGGGUAUACUGGUUCUCUUGGGCCACUUAGGGGCUACCGGAACAAACGGUGGAGCGGUGAAAUGCGUAGAUAUCGUUUGGAACGCCAAUGGUGAAAACAGGUAGCUGGGAGUGUGCCGACGCUGAGACACGAAAGCCAGGGGAGCGAACGGGAUUAGAUACCCGUGUAGUCC